rnacentral:rRNA from 1 species
AGCGAGCUUGCCUAGAUGAUUUUAGUGCUUGCCCUAAAUGAAACUAGAUACAAGCGAGCGGCGGACGGGUGAGUAACACGUGGGUAACCUGCCCAAGAGACUGGGAUCACACCUGGAAACAGAUGCUAAUACCGGGUAACAACACUAGACGCAUGUCUAGAGUUUGAAAGAUGGUUCUGCUAUCACUCUUGGAUGGACCUGCGGUGCAUUAGCUAGUUGGUAAGGUAACGGCUUACCAAGGCAAUGAUGCAUAGCCGAGUUGAGAGACUGAUCGGCCACAUUGGGACUGAGACACGGCCCAAACUCCUACGGGAGGCAGCAGUAGGGAAUCUUCCACAAUGGACGAAAGUCUGAUGGAGCAACGCCGCGUGAGUGAAGAAGGGUUUCGGCUCGUAAAGCUCUGUUGGUAGUGAAGAAAGAUAGAGGUAGUAACUGGCCUUUAUUUGACGGUAAUUACUUAGAAAGUCACGGCUAACUACGUGCCAGCAGCCGCGGUAAUACGUAGGUGGCAAGCGUUGUCCGGAUUUAUUGGGCGUAAAGCGAGUGCAGGCGGUUCAAUAAGUCUGAUGUGAAAGCCUUCGGCUCAACCGGAGAAUUGCAUCAGAAACUGUUGAACUUGAGUGCAGAAGAGGAGAGUGGAACUCCAUGUGUAGCGGUGGAAUGCGUAGAUAUUUUGAAGAACACCAGUGGCGAAGGCGGCUCUCUGGUCUGCAACUGACGCUGAGGCUCGAAAACAUGGGGAGCCCUUUUAAGGNNNNNNCNNNNNNNNNNNNNNNANNNNNNGGGGCCUUUAAUGGNNNNNNNNNNNNNNCGCCUCUCAAAAAGCAGCUAACGCAUUAAGCACUCCGCCUGGGGAGUACGACCGCAAGGUUGAAACUCAAAGGAAUUGACGGGGGCCCGCACAAGCGGUGGAGCAUGAAAAAAAAUUCGAAGCAACGCGAAGAACCUUACCAGGUCUUGACAUCCAGUGCAAACAUAAAAAAUUAGGUGUUCCCUUCGGGGACGCUGAGACAGGUGGUGCAUGGCUGUCGUCAGCUUGUGUCGUGAGAUGUUGGGUUAAGUCCCGCAACGAGCGCAACCCUUGUCAUUAGUUGCCAUCAUUAAGUUGGGCACUCUAAUGAGACUGCCGGUGACAAACCGGAGGAAGGUGGGGAUGACGUCAAGUCAUCAUGCCCCUUAUGACCUGGGCUACACACGUGCUACA